rnacentral:misc_RNA from 1 species
AACAUCGCGCACCUGCGGGAACCUGCGGAGGGAUCAUUACCCUAUACCAUCGGGGGGCCGGCCCUGGAGAUUGCGGCACCCAUCUGGGAAGCCCUCUCUCCUGCCCGCCCUGUCUGAAUAUACCCAUGAUUUUUGCGUACCCAUUGUUUCCUCGGCAGGCUUGCUUGCCAGUAGGACAUUUUUCAACCUUUUGUAAUUGCAGUCAGCGUCAGAAAAACUUAAUAGUUACAACUUUCAGCA